rnacentral:rRNA from 1 species
CGCCCGUCGCUCCUACCGAUUGGGUGUGCUGGUGAAGUGUUCGGAUUGGCAACCCGGGGCGGUUUCCGCUCUGGGCUGCCGAGAAGUUCAUUAAACCCUCCCACCGAGAGGAAGGAGAAGUCGUAACAAGGUUUCC